rnacentral:rRNA from 1 species
AUGGAUAUCUCACUACCCCUCCUCCUCCCAGCCGUCAUCCUCAUCCCCGUCGUCUCGUACCUGCUGGUGACGAAGCGCAGCACCGAGGAAGGGCGGCUGAAGCUGCCGCCGGGCCCGAAGUGGCACGUGUUCUGGGCGACGCUGGCUGCCCUGGGCGACGCUGCGGGGCCGGUGUCGUUGGACGAGCACGUGUUCUGUGUCGCCGACGGCGUGAUCGCCAUGGUGGCGUACGGGAGCGUGUACGGCGCAGAGGCGUUCUCGGGAAAGUACGAGCGGUUCCAGCACGUGCUACAGGAGGCCGUGGACAUGUCGGCCAGCUUCUCCGCCGAGGACUUCUUCCCCAACACCGCCGGCCGCCUCCUCGACCGGCUCGCCGGCAUCGUCGCGCGCCGGGAGAGGAUCUUCAGAGACCUCGACGGCUUCUUCGAGGAAGUGCUGGAGCAGCAUCGAGACCCCGCACGCCCCAGGCCGGAGAGCGGCGGCGGUGACCUGGUGGAUGCCCUCGUCAGAAUCUGCGAGGAGCAUGGCUUCACGAGGGACCACGUCAAGGCUGUCCUCCUGGACGUGUUCAUCGGCGGCGUUGACACGAGCUCUGUGACGAUCCUGUGGGCGAUGUCGGAGCUGAUCCGGAAGCCGCAGGUGCUGAAGAAAGCGCAGAAGGAGAUCAGGGACGUGGUCGCCGGCAACGAGCAGCGGGUGCAGCCGGACGACCUGCCGAAGCUGACCUACCUGAAGAUGGUCGUCAAAGAGACCCUGCGGCUGCACCCGUCGAUUACGCUGCUUCUGCCGUGGGAGACGCUUCGGAGGGUGGAGAUCGGCGGCUACGACGUGCCGGCGGGGUCGCGGGUGCUCGUGAACGCGUGGGUCAUCGGGAGGGACCCCGCAAGCUGGGGGCAGGACGCGGAGGAGUUCGAGCCGGAGAGGUUCGAGGCCGGCGGGAGGCACGGCAAGGUGGACUUCCGUGGCGCUCACUUGGAACUGAUGCCGUUCGGCGCCGGCCGGCGAAUCUGCCCCGCACUGGUCAUGGGAGCUGCCGGAGGAGGCCGGUAG